UUUAAAAAAAUCAUGUGGCAGCAUUCAGUGCACAAAUAGCUCUUCCCACAAAGCUAUUUUUAAGUCUGUUUGUUCUGGCCUUAAGUGCCCUGUAUCAUCUGCCUGAUGGCAGCAAUUCAAACAAAUAGCAUCCAGGAUGGGAGGGGUCU